UACGUAGGGGCCGAGCGUUGUCCGGAGUUACUGGGCGUAAAGCGUGCGCAGGCGGCGCGUUCUGCCCGGCGUGAAAGCCCCCGGCUCAACCGGGGAGGGUCGUCGGGGACGGGCGCGCUUGAGGGUAUCAGGGGCUGGUGGAAUUCCCGGUGUAGUGGUGAAAUGCGUAGAGAUCGGGAGGAACACCUGUGGCGAAGGCGGCCAGCUGGGAUACACCUGACGCUGAGGCACGAAGGCGUGGGGAGCGAACGGGAUUAGAUACCCCCGUAGUCCCUGAGCGGGCUGG
rnacentral:rRNA from 1 species